rnacentral:rRNA from 1 species
GACUACCAGGGUAUCUAAUCCCAUUCGCUACCCACGCUUUCGUGCUUGAGCGUCAGAUGUGUGCCAGUAUACUGCCUUCGCAUUUGGUAUUCCCCAUGAUAUCAACGGAUUUCACCCCUACACCAUGAGUUCUGUAUACCUCUCACACUCUCUAGUCAUGCCGUUUCGCUCGCUGUUCCCAAGUUAAGCUCGGGGAUUUAACAAACGACUAACAUAACCGCCUACGCACCCUUUACGCCCAGUGAUUCCGGAUAACGCUUGAAGCUCUCGUAUUACCGCUCCUGCUGGCACGAGAUUGGGAGCUCCUUAUUCUUAGGGUACCGUCAAUAAUUUCUUCCCCUAUAAAAGACCUUUACAUGCCGAAGCACUUCAUCAGUCACGCGGCGUCGCUCCAUCAGACUUUCGUCCAUUGUGGAAGGUUCCUCACUGCAGCCCCCCGUAGG